AUUGAACGCUGGCGGCAGGCUUAACACAUGCAAGUCGAGCGGGGGAAGGUAGCUUGCUACCGGACCUAGCGGCGGACGGGUGAGUAAUGCUUAGGAAUCUGCCUAUUAGUGGGGGACAACAUCUCGAAAGGGAUGCUAAUACCGCAUACGUCCUACGGGAGAAAGCAGGGGAUCUUCGGACCUUGCGCUAAUAGAUGAACCUAAGUCGGAUUAGCUAGUUGGUGGGGUAAAGGCCUACCAAGGCGACGAUCUGUAGCGGGUCUGAGAGGAUGAUCCGCCACACUGGGACUGAGACACGGCCCAGACUCCUACGGGAGGCAGCAGUGGGGAAUAUUGGACAAUGGGGGGAACCCUGAUCCAGCCAUGCCGCGUGUGUGAAGAAGGCCUUAUGGUUGUAAAGCACUUUAAGCGAGGAGGAGGCUACUUUAGUUAAUACCUAGAGAUAGUGG
rnacentral:rRNA from 1 species